rnacentral:lncRNA from 1 species
UAAAUUAGAUACACAAUAAUAUACUAUGUUUCUUUAACAGAAAUAGCAGUUUAGGGAGUGCUCAAAAAAAUCAGAAAGCAGGAGAAGGGAAUGAAAGAAGCUUCUAGGAAUGAUUAGAUUAUAGCACUCAAUGGAAAGAGGUAAUAAAAUUAUUACUCAAAUAUCCUACUUUGGCAGGAGAUGGGGUGUUUUGUGAAUUUUUUUUAGAGGGUUAUUCAUUUUUAAAUGUUCAAAUACAAAAGCUUUAAUUUCUCUUGGCAAUUCAUCUUUGUUCUAGGAAAGGCGUUAGCAACUUGGAUAUUGACAGAGAUGGCAUGUUCAUCAAAUCUACAGAUCAUUCAAUCCACAAGAAUUUAAGUGCCUAUUAUUCAUUAAAUGCCAGGCACUGUGAUAGGCACUAGGAAUACAAAGCGAAAUGACUCAGUCAGUAAGAAGAAGAGGAAAAACUCUCGAUGACAAAACCAGGAUUUUAUAAGCAUGUCACCUCAACCCAGGUCAUUCUGACCCAUGACCACCAGGAGGUCCAUAUUGAAGACUGAACUUCUUAAAGGCCAGCAAACUUGGCAUGCACUGGAUAAAGAGGAAAAAACAAAUUCCAGAGGCCUUUCUAAAGUGCUCCACACUCAAACAAAGCCCAUUGUUGCUGAUUGAAAGCCUGGAUUCCCUUUAAGAGGACACCUGCGUUACAGGACCAGUGAUUAGGAUUCCUGUAUCAAAUGCUUGAAGGGUCAACAAAGUUUAGGCAAGAAGUCAUUCCAGAACUGGGGAGAUUAUGGAGGUAGGAAAUUGGGAAUCAUGGAGAAUUUCCUAAAUAUUCUUUUUGCCUUCCCACAGUGCCCUCACUCCUCCCCUUUUCCAAUCAAUUGCAAAGUCCUGCUGAUUCUAUUUCAAUAAUUAUCAUUUACUUCUGCUCCCUCUUUCCCACUCCCUUUGCAGCUGCCCUAGCUCAGAAUUUCAUCUUGCCUAGAUGGCUGCAAUGGCUUCCUAACUGUUUUUUGUUUUGUUUUGCUUUUAGUUUUCUUUAGCUCAUCCUUCACUACAUCAUUCUGUCAUUCAAAAACACUUG